GAUGAACGCUGGCGGCGUGCCUAAUACAUGCAAGUCGAGCGGACGGACGAAACUUUUGCUUGGCUUAUGUUAGCGGCGGGCGAGUGAGUCACACGAGUAUACCCGACAUAUAGGAAUAGGAUCACUAAGGGAAAGCGGAUAUAGCACAGGAUGAGAUUGUGAAACGCGGGGUUCAUAGGUGAAAGACGGACUUGCUGUCACUAAUAGAGGUUUCUUGGCUGGACUAGCUAGUUGGUACGGUAACGGCCUACCAAGGCUACGAUGCGUAGCCGAUCUGAGAGGGUGAUCAGCCACACUGGAACUGAGACACGGUCCAGACUCCUACGGGAGGCAGCAGUAGGGAAUCUUGGGCAAUGGGCGAAAGCCUGACGGAGCCACGCCGCGUGAGUGAUGAAGGUCUUCGGAUCGUAAAGCUCUGUUAUUAGGGAAGAACAUCUGUGUGAGUAAAUGUGGCUGUCUUGACGGUACCUACUCAAAAAGCAACGGCUAACUACGUG
rnacentral:rRNA from 1 species